GCUGGCGGCGUGCCUAAUACAUGCAAGUCGAGCGAACAGAUGAGAAGCUUGCUUCUCUGAUGUUAGCGGCGGACGGGUGAGUAACACGUGGGUAACCUACCUAUAAGACUGGGAUAACUCCGGGAAACCGGGGCUAAUACCGGAUAAUAUUUUGAACCGCAUGGUUCAAUAGUGAAAGACGGUUUCGGCUGUCACUUAUAGAUGGACCCGCGCCGUAUUAGCUAGUUGGUAAGGUAACGGCUUACCAAGGCGACGAUACGUAGCCGACCUGAGAGGGUGAUCGGCCACACUGGAACUGAGACACGGUCCAGACUCCUACGGGAGGCAGCAGUAGGGAAUCUUCCGCAAUGGGCGAAAGCCUGACGGAGCAACGCCGCGUGAGUGAUGAAGGUCUUCGGAUCGUAAAACUCUGUUGUUAGGGAAGAACAAAUUUGUUAGUAACUGAACAAGUCUG
rnacentral:rRNA from 2 species